CAAUAGCGUAUAUUAAAGUUGUUGCAGUUAAAAAGCUCGUAGUUGAAUUUUUGCUUGCCGCCGAUGUCGGAACUUCCGUACGUUCGGCGGCGUGCAUCCUUGGGUGGAACCUGUGUGGCGUUAGAUUGUCGUGCAGGGGAUGCUCAUCGUUUACUGUGAAAAAAUUAGAGUGUUCAAAGCAGGCUUAUGCCGUUGAAUAUAUUAGCAUGGAAUAAUAAGAUAGGACCUUGGUACUAUUUUGUUGGUUUGCGCACCGAGGUAAUGAUUAACAGGGACAGUUGGGGGUAUUCGUAUUCCAUUGUCAGAGGUGAAAUUCUUGGAUUUCUGGAAGACGAACUACUGCGAAAGCAUUUGCCAAGGAUGUUUUCAUUAA
rnacentral:rRNA from 1 species